GCCCAACAGACUACUACAGAUCAUCGGUUGAAUUUACACAAGAAGCCUCACAACAUCACAACAAAGAGAAAGAGCUUAAAAGCCCCCCUUCAUUUUCCUGGAGAUGUUGAGAAGAAGAGCAGCACGGUCAUCUGGACCAGAGCCUGAAUCUCUUGACUGCCCCCCUGAAACUCCUGCCAACAGAGUGAUGAGAGACUCCCCCACAGCCCCACUGACUGACAGAACAGACCAGGAGGUGGAGGAUCACACAGACAACUUGUCUCCAAUAGAUCAAAAGGCUCACAUGCACCAAACCAGGAGUCAGAAAUGGAAAGUGAUUUCGAUCAUCCUGUGUCUGUCUGUCAGAGUAUCUGUCACACUGUCUUCCCCAUUGGUGACUUUCAGGACCAACUCUACUCAAGCUCACUCCCUUCCUCCCCCUGUUCCCUCUACCUGCCCUCUUCACACAGCCAAUGAGACUAUAACACCAGUCAAGGGUUCAACUCAUCUAAUGGUGUCUGCAUACCAGGACCACAGGGAAGGGGGAGCCACGCGCAUCAUUGCCAUGGUCAACAGAGACCGACCCAUGUCUCUGUACUGUGUGUUGUGCUGCUCAGGACACGCCCCCCAGGUCGCUCCAGCUGCUGUCGUAAUGCACAGCGUCCACUAUGGUUACCCGUAUGUGGCCGCAGACAUGCUUUGCCUCGAAGAACCAGGAUGCAACGCCACACACGUCACUCUUGGCACAUCCCUCGACAUCCAGGACUCCCUCAACCAGACAUUUCUGAGCAUCCAGAACCGGGAGAGACGG